rnacentral:rRNA from 1 species
GACGAACGCUGGCGGCGUGCUUAACACAUGCAAGUCGAACGGAAAGGCCCUGCUUUUGUGGGGUGCUCGAGUGGCGAACGGGUGAGUAACACGUGAGUAACCUGCCCUUGACUUUGGGAUAACUUCAGGAAACUGGGGCUAAUACCGGAUAGGAGCUCCUGCUGCAUGUUGGGGGUUGGAAAGUUUCGGCGGUUGGGGAUGGACUCGCGGCUUAUCCGCUUGUUGGUGGGGUAGUGGCUUACCAAGGCUUUGACGGGUAGCCGGCCUGAGAGGGUGACCGGCCACAUUGGGACUGAGAGACGGAGCAGACGCCUACGGGAGGCAGCAGUGGGGAAUAUUGCACAAUGGGCGGAAGCCUGAUGCAGCAACGCCGCGUGCGGGAUGACGGCCUUCGGGGUGUAAACCGCUUUCGCCUGUGACGAAGCGUGAGUGACGGUAAUGGGUAAAGAAGCACCGGCUAACUACGUG